GUCUCAAGGUACAUCCCUCCAGAGUUAGGAAGAUAAGAUUCAGGAUAGAUUUAAUUUUUUUUUAAGAGACAAGGUCUUGCUUUGUUGCCCAGACUGGAGUGCAGUGGCUAUUCACAGACACAACCAUUGUGCAUUGCAGCCCUUUCUUUUUUCUUAUUUUUUUUCUCUUUUUUUGAGACGGAAUCUCACUCUGUCGCCCAGAUCUCAGCUCACUGCAAUCUCCGCCUCCUGGAUUCAAGGGAUUCUCUCCUGCCUCAACCUCCCAAAUAGCUGGGAUUACAGGUGCAUGCCACCACACCCGGCUAAUUUUUGUAUUUUUAGUAGAGAUGGGGUUUCAUGUUGUUGGUCACUUCCUUCCUUCUAAUUAUUAACACUGUGUGCUCCGUGGGGCUCCCAUUAUGUUGUAGAUAAUCAGCUAGAAGACUAUAAGGUCCAUGAAGGCGGAGAAAAUGUGCCUGGAACUUAAGUGCUCAUUCACUGGAAUUAUUCACUAAUUUGUAUUUUUAAUAUACUCUCGGAAUUUAUAUAACAUAGCCUGUAUUUCUAGCUGCUGCUACCCCACAAUAAAAUUAUAUAAACUCUGACAUCAAAAACCAGUGUUUCUUUCCUUUCUUGGCCUUGUAAACAGGCAUUUGUCUAAGAGACUGUAUCUGGUACUAACAUAAAUUCCCCACUUCCCCGUUUCUGUUACAGACAUGUCAUGCUGCCCAAGGACAUAGCCAAGCUGGUCCCUAAAACCCAUCUGAUGUCUGAAU
rnacentral:lncRNA from 1 species